AUUGAACGCUGGCGGCAGGCCUAACACAUGCAAGUCGAACGAAGUCUUCGGACUUAGUGGCGGACGGGUGAGUAACACGUAGGAACGUGCCUUUAGGUUCGGAAUAACUCAGGGAAACUUGUGCUAAUACCGAAUGUGCCCUUCGGGGGAAAGAUUUAUCGCCUUUAGAGCGGCCCGCGUCUGAUUAGCUAGUUGGUGAGGUAAAGGCUCACCAAGGCUACGAUCAGUAGCUGGUCUGAGAGGAUGACCAGCCACAUUGGGACUGAGACACGGCCCAAACUCCUACGGGAGGCAGCAGUGGGGAAUCUUGCGCAAUGGGCGAAAGCCUGACGCAGCCAUGCCGCGUGGAUGAUGAAGGUCUUAGGAUUGUAAAAUUCUUUCACCGGGGACGAUAAUGACGGUACCCGGAGAAGAAGCCCCGGCUAACUUCGUGCCAGCCGCCGCCGUAAUAC
rnacentral:rRNA from 1 species